GAUGAACGCUGGCGGCGUGCCUAAUACAUGCAAGUCGAGCGAACAGACGAGGAGCUUGCUCCUUCGACGUUAGCGGCGGACGGGUGAGUAACACGUAGGUAACCUACCUAUAAGACUGGGAUAACUUCGGGAAACCGGAGCUAAUACCGGAUAAUAUUUCGAACCGCAUGGUUCGAUAGUGAAAGAUGGCUUUGCUAUCACUUAUAGAUGGACCUGCGCCGUAUUAGCUAGUUGGUAAGGUAACGGCUUACCAAGGCAACGAUACGUAGCCGACCUGAGAGGGUGAUCGGCCACACUGGAACUGAGACACGGUCCAGACUCCUACGGGAGGCAGCAGUAGGGAAUCUUCCGCAAUGGGCGAAAGCCUGACGGAGCAACGCCGCGUUAGUGAUGAAGGUCUUCGGAUCGUAAAACUCUGUUAUUAGGGAAGAACAAACGUGUAAGUAACUGUGCACGUCUUGACGGUACCUAAUCAGAAAGCCACGGCUAACUACGUG
rnacentral:rRNA from 1 species